GUUAUAAAAGGAGAUUAAACUAAACUUUGUAAGGUCGUAAGUAUUUGUAUUUGGUAAAGACUUUUUUUCUUUUUUAAUUAAAGGACGAGGAAUCCAAGCUAGAAUACCAAUCUUGUUGUACAUUCUUCUUCAGGAUUUUGCGCCUAGGCUGGUCCUUGGCCUAAAUGAUGUGGGAAGUCUCCUAUACUAAUGAGAAAAAGCCGCUGGAUUCAAACACAAGCCAAAAGCUGCUGGGCUCAAACACUAACCUAAAAGAGGCUGAAGAAUUUAUAGCCUGCUAUUAGGGCCCAGGAUCGAAUCCUUACUGGUACAAGUCAAUGCACAAGCCAAUGAAAACCAAGUGAAACACAAACCGCCUCAGAUGAGAAAAAAGGGGCCAAAUCUGAUUAGAAAUCACCCAUUACUCAUUUAGAUAAUGAAUUUAUCCACAAAAAUACGACUUAACAUUAGAUAAUUAUCCUUGUAUUCAUGCUACUCUAAUUUCCAGAAUGAAUUUUAAAGAAAACUUCAAUCAUUGCUUAAUAGUUUCAGAAGUAUAACACCAAAAAUGUCCAAAGUUUAAACACAACAUACAAAUUUAGCUACUAACUAAGAAUGGCUAGACCACAAUUAAUUGAUCCAACAUAUAAACAUUGAGAAAAGAAUUGAAAAUAAACAAAACAAAUUCAGCUGUCAUGGUUUCAAACAUUCAUUUCAUCUUCAAUGCAACACAUACAUCUUAAAAGAAUUUCAAGAGAAUGUACUUGACAAUGCAGAGAGAAUAAGAAAAAGGAGAAGUUAGCAGUAGUAGCUCAGUGUUAGUUGCGGCCUUAACAGGUAAACCAGCUUGAAGCAAGUUGAAAUCAAUAGAAAUCCAAAUAAUAUUCAACGACCAAAAGGCAACCAAAAUUGAACCAAAACUCUUGAAAACCAACCCAAAUUCCAGUCAUUUUCAUACUCCAAUUGAACCAACAACUUUCAGUACUCUGAAAUGAAACAUUACAUGUGAGAACUCUCAAACAUCAAUUUGAACUUGCUGAUCUCAACAUUCAACUUUUAUGACUAAGUUCUAAACCAUUUGUAAAUUCCAGCAAUUAGGAGGCUGAUUCAAGAAGUGAGGGAUUUCAAAACCCAAAAUUCAAUGAAACAGUGUUUGUCACCUAAAUUUUUUAGCCGUCUGAGUUUUUUGAGCGCUUUUUAUCACUGAAAUCUUAAUGUCUAAGGCAAGAAAGAAUUCCGUCAUAGGCAAGCAACUAAGGCACCCUUCAGAUUUAUUAUUUCAAUUUAGUCCUUCAUUUUUUAACUUGUUAACCAAGUUAUAGCACCCAAAUUAAUAGGAAGCCCCUACUAGGAGCUUCCUAUUAUUGUUACUGUAAGAUUCCCUAAGUAAUUACCUAUACUACCCUCCUAUUCUCUGAAAUUACAUUGAGAACAAAAAAUACAAAAAUGGGCCAUAGUCAAGGACCCGAUGGACUCAAAUAUGGGCUUUAAAUCAACCCAAACAAAACCUUAUGUGAUUGGCAUAUGUACUAACACAAACUAGGAGUUAUAAUCAAGUAACUCAGGUGACUGAUUAAUUGCAACACACAUGGAUUAAUUAAACUUUUAAAAUAAACCUAAAUAUGUUAAACUAGGUGACCAGGACAUGAGGCAAAAUCAAGAACUAAUCAUUCCAUUUAACUAAGUACAAGAAAAUCCAAAAACCCAUUGAUAAGAAAGGUUUUGGGUUCAGAAGUUUUGGUCCAGUCUCAAUUUUGAGAUUGACCUACAACCAAAAGGAGAAAACAAAAGGAUAAGAACAAAACAAAAGAAGCUGGACUCACCGGUUCAAAGCCUUAAAAAAAAUCUUCAUGCACAGGUUUAAGGAUUUUUGGUCAGAGCUUUGAACUAAUAUUCAAGCCACUGUAGCGUGGUUCGAGGGAAAGUGAGUUCAGAUUGAGGGACAGGGAACCAUGGGGAUUUCGGGGUGAUAUUUUGGGGUGAUUUGGAGAUGGUGCCACCAUACACGAUGGCGGAGUCAGAGCUUUCAAAUGAUAUUCGAGGCGUUUGGUAUGAUUCGAGGGAAGGCGAUGGUAAAUUUGGGUAGAGGAGAGGGAGGAUAAGCGGUGGUGUUAAUUUGGAAAUGAUUGGAGCUCCGCCGGUGUCGUGGGCGAUUUUUGGCCGGCGGAUGACGGCGGUAGGCGGCGGAGAUGGGGUGUCUCUAGGGUUUCAGGUGUGAUGGUGAGAGAAGGGGUUUGGGGGGGGGCAUUUAGACAUAUAUAUAUAUAUAU
rnacentral:lncRNA from 1 species